UAAUACGGAGGGUGCAAGCGUUAAUCGGAAUUACUGGGCGUAAAGCGCACGCAGGCGGUUUGUUAAGUCAGAUGUGAAAUCCCCGGGCUCAACCUGGGAACUGCAUUUGAAACUGGCAAGCUAGAGUCUCGUAGAGGGGGGUAGAAUUCCAGGUGUAGCGGUGAAAUGCGUAGAGAUCUGGAGGAAUACCGGUGGCGAAGGCGGCCCCCUGGACGAAGACUGACGCUCAGGUGCGAAAGCGUGGGGAGCAAACAGGAUUAAGAUACCCUGGUAGUCCACGCUGUAAACGAUGUCGAUUUGGAGGUUGUGCCCUUGAGGCGUGGCUUCCGGAGCUAACGCGUUAAAUCGACCGCCUGGGGAGUACGGCCGCAAGGUUA
rnacentral:rRNA from 1 species